GUAGUCCACGCCCUAAACGAUGUCAACUAGUUGUCGGGUCUUAAUAGACUUGGUAACGCAGCUAACGCGUGAAGUUGACCGCCUGGGGAGUACGGUCGCAAGAUUAAAACUCAAAGGAAUUGACGGGGACCCGCACAAGCGGUGGAUGAUGUGGAUUAAUUCGAUGCAACGCGAAAAACCUUACCUACCCUUGACAUGGUCCGAACCUAAUAGAGAUAUUGGGGUGCUCGCAAGAGAGCGGAUACACAGGUGCUGCAUGGCUGUCGUCAGCUCGUGUCGUGAGAUGUUGGGUUAAGUCCCGCAACGAGCGCAACCCUUGUCAUUAAUUGCCAUCAUUAGGUUGGGCACUUUAAUGAGACUGCCGGUGACAAACCGGA
rnacentral:rRNA from 1 species